UGUUAUACUGAUAAUAUAAAUAAUAUGUAUUAAUAUAAUACAAUAAAUAAUUUUAUAAUAAAAAUAAUAUAUUAUAAUAUAUAAUAUAUUAUAUUUAUAUAAUUUAGUUUUAAUUCAAUUUAUAAUUUUAAUUAAGUUUGAAAGUAAGUAUUAGAAUAGCACUAUUCUAUCAAAAUGGUGGAAUAGCAAAUUUCUUACUAUUCCGGAAUAACCGGAAAUAACAAGAUUUGGGCGGAAUAAAAUAUUUCGGCCAAACUUUAUCUUGUUUGGUGGAAUAGUGGGAAUAACUUUCGUUAUCCCUGCUUAUCCCCGAACCAAACGGUCUGAAGGUUUUUAAUUAGUAUGGAUAAGGAUAAUAUGUGCCAAUUAAAAAAAAAAAAAGAGAGAAAAAAAAUAUGUGCCAAUUAAAAAUAAAGGGGUUAAUA
rnacentral:lncRNA from 1 species